rnacentral:rRNA from 1 species
GCGCGAAAACUUUACAAUGCCGGCAACGGCGAUAAGGGAACCUCGAGUGCCAGGAUACAAUCCUGGCUGUCGUAAUGCCUAAAAAGCAUUGCAUAGCAAGGGCCGGGCAAGACCGGUGCCAGCCGCCGCGGUAACACCGGCGGCUCGAGUGGUAACCGCUAUUAUUGGGUCUAAAGGGUCUGUAGCCGGCUGAAUAAGUCUCUUGGGAAAUCUGGCAGCUCAACUGUCAGGCUUUCAGGGGAUACUGUUCGGCUCGAGACCGGGAGAGGUGAGAGGUACCUCAGGGGUAGGGGUGAAAUCUUGUAAUCCUUGAGGGACCACCAGUGGCGAAGGCGUCUCACCAGAACGGAUCUGACGGCAAGGGACGAAAGCUAGGGGCACGAACCGG